GGGUGCGUAACGCGUGGGAAUCUGCCCUUUGGUUCGGAAUAACAGCUGGAAACGGCUGCUAAUACCGGAUGAUGACGAAAGUCCAAAGAUUUAUCGCCAGAGGAUGAGCCCGCGUUGGAUUAGGUAGUUGGUGGGGUAAAGGCCUACCAAGCCGACGAUCCAUAGCUGGUCUGAGAGGAUGAUCAGCCACACUGGGACUGAGACACGGCCCAGACUCCUACGGGAGGCAGCAGUGGGGAAUAUUGGACAAUGGGCGAAAGCCUGAUCCAGCAAUGCCGCGUGAGUGAUGAAGGCCCUAGGGUUGUAAAGCUCUUUUACCCGGGAAGAUAAUGACUGUACCGGGAGAAUAAGCCCCGGCUAACUCCGUGCCAGCAGCCGCGGUAAUACGGAGGGGGCUAGCGUUGUUCGGAAUUACUGGGCGUAAAGCGCACGUAGGCGGCUUUGUAAGUCAGAGGUGAAAGCCUGGAGCUCAACUCCAGAACUGCCUUUGAGACUGCAUCGCUUGAAUCCAGGAGAGGUCAGUGGAAUUCCGAGUGUAGAGGUGAAAUUCGUAGAUAUUCGGAAGAACACCAGUGGCGAAGGCGGCUGACUGGACUGGUAUUGACGCUGA
rnacentral:rRNA from 1 species